rnacentral:misc_RNA from 1 species
UUUCCGUAGGUGAACCUGCGGAAGGAUCAUUAACACGAACAAAAUGUUCCAAAACCUUUUUGGAUCAACGCCAACCUUUGAAAAGGCGAACCUAGUUGUAUUUUUCUCCUUUUUCUAUUUCGUUUUUCUCAAACGCAACUUCUCAUGGAAAUUGACUAGAAUCGUGUGAUUUGUUCCAAUCCUAUCACCUCUUUCUCCUCUCCUCUCCUCGUGAGAUGAGAUGGGAUGUGAGAUGGGAGAUGGGGGGUGGGUUUGGAACUAACCAUUCCUAACGCUAAAACAACUCUUAACAACGGAUAUCUUGGCUCUC